rnacentral:tRNA from 1 species
GUCCCAGUAGCUCAGGUGGAUAGAGCAACGGCCUCCUAAGCCGUAGGUCGGGAGUUCGAAUCUCUCCUGGGACG